rnacentral:lncRNA from 1 species
GCCUCCCAAUGUGUCAAGCCACUCCUGAUCAGGGUGAGCAGACAUGCAACAAGAUUAAGGAAUUAGCAUGGUUGGUGUCACCAAAUGUUUGCCCAGGGGAAUGGCAUGUUCUACUUGCUAUUUGACGAGGAUUUAUAAUGUUCUUGUCGUAUGUGAUGUGUUUAUUAAUAAAUUUAUGAACUUGGAAAGAGCAUUAAAAAUUUUGGCAGAUUGAUGCAGACUGCAGUGGUUUAAUGCAAAGUUGCAACAGUGAAUUCGAUUGUGCAGUUGUUGGGUCAAUGCCUCUAGCAGAGUCCAUAUUCAUUGGUCCAUAUGGCUUGGUGACAAAAGGAGCCCUUAAAACAGAAUAAAAGGGGUGGGGAAAUAAAAAAAAUAAAAAUAAAAAUGAAAAACCAACUGCAUGUGCGACCAUCAUUACGGAUGUAGUGACAUAUAUGCCAAUGGAUCUGAGUGCAUUCAAGGAAUGUUAAUAGUUGCAAUAGAUCAUAAUAAAUUGCUAGGAUCUACCAUCCAGAAAUUGCUAGGAACCAUUGGAGAUAAUACGAAUAAUAAACUGAUUUGUGCCGGUGAUUCAUAUCAAAGAGAAGACAGAUAACAUAAAAGUGUAAGAAGAUGCCUAGUUGCUAGAAAUGAAUAAAUUGGAAUCCUAAUUGUAUCUGAUAAUUGGAAAAUUACUGAGCAAGGAGUGAAUAAAUUGGUUGUAAUAUGGAGAAUCCAAGUGUGAAAUAGUAAAAGAAAAGUGAAGGGAUUGUAUAAUAGUUUGGCACUGAACUUGAUAGCUUAGCCUUUCAAGUCUUUUGGUUUUGACUCUCAGUCUCCCUGAUAAGUGGUAUCAAAACUAUAGUGCUGAUCUUGGGUAUGACUUUUGAAGUAACAAAAGCAUGCCAAAAUAGGUGGUUCUUAGAAUGAUAACAUGCGAGUUGGUGGAGUGAAGUCAUGGUCACUGCAGUAUGUCGCUAAUGGGGUGAGCUAACUCAAAAUAGCAAACUUUUGGAUUUGAGCACAUACUUGAUGUAGCAAGUGGACUCAAUGGAGCAAGACUUGAGUUAGAGUGGAGGCCUGAACUCGAGAUGGGCUCUCGGAAGAGAUACAGUAAUCGAAUUUAAAGGAGUAUUUAGUUCGCAAUUAAAAUUGAAAUUAGAAUCAGAAUCGAAAUCGGAAUGAAAAUUUGAAUAUUUAGGAGAGAGAAGGGAUUGAGUUUUAGAUAGAAUGAACCAUUGUCAUUCUACUCUAAAAUCAGAAUCAGAAUAAGAUUCCUUCCAACCAAACGUUUGAAAUAUGAGUCACUUAUUCGUAUUUCGAUUUCAAACUCUAGCUCCCCCAACCGAACACUCCCUAAAUAUAAUCAAUGUAUAUGGGAGCACAUGAUGAUAUAUCUAGAAAGAUGCAUAAUGGGUGAACUUGAUGUUGUGCACUGGAAUGGAAUCGGUUUGAGAGUGGAUGCGAAGUGGAGCUGUGAGGAUGUAAGUGGUUUUCAUGCACGA